rnacentral:rRNA from 1 species
UACGUAGGGGGCGAGCGUUGUCCGGAUUUAUUGGGCGUAAAGAGCUCGUAGGCGGUUUGGUAAGUCGGGUGUGAAAUCUCCACGCUCAACGUGGAGGGGCCACUCGAUACUGCCCUGACUAGAGUCCGGUAGAGGAGUAUGGAAUUCCCGGUGUAGCGGUGAAAUGCGCAGAUAUCGGGAGGAACACCGGUGGCGAAGGCGGUUCUCUGGGCAUGUCCUGACGCUGAGGAGCGAAAGCUAGGGGAGCAAACAGG